UACGAGGGGGGCGAGCGUUGUUCGGAAUUAUUGGGCGUAAAGGGUGCGUAGGCGGCCUGACAAGUCUGAUGUGAAAUCCCUGGGCUCAACCCAGGGCCUGCAUCGGAAACUGUCGGGCUUGAGUAUGGGAGAGGUGAGUGGAAUUUCCGGUGUAGCGGUGAAAUGCGUAGAGAUCCGGAAGAACACCGGUGGCGAAGGCGGUCUGCUGGGCAGUAGCUGACACUGAGGCGCGACAGCGUGGGGAGCAAACAGG
rnacentral:rRNA from 1 species